rnacentral:rRNA from 1 species
AGAGUUUGAUCCUGGCUCAGGACGAACGCUGGCGGCACGCUUAACACAUGCAAGUCGAACGAGAGAAGAGGAGCUUGCUUUUCUGAUCUAGUGGCGGACGGGUGAGUAACACGUGAGCAAUCUGCCUUUCAGAGGGGGAUACCGAUUGGAAACGAUCGUUAAUACCGCAUAACAUAAUUGAACCGCAUGAUUUGAUUAUCAAAGAUUUAUCGCUGAAAGAUGAGCUCGCGUCUGAUUAGCUAGUUGGUAAGGUAACGGCUUACCAAGGCGACGAUCAGUAGCCGGACUGAGAGGUUGAUCGGCCACAUUGGGACUGAGACACGGCCCAGACUCCUACGGGAGGCAGCAGUGGGGAAUAUUGCACAAUGGAGGAAACUCUGAUGCAGCGAUGCCGCGUGAGGGAAGAAGGUUUUAGGAUUGUAAACCUCUGUCUUCAGGGACGAAAAAAGACGGUACCUGAGGAGGAAGCUCCGGCUAACUACGUGCCAGCAGCCGCGGUAAUACGUAGGGAGCGAGCGUUGUCCGGAAUUACUGGGUGUAAAGGGAGCGUAGGCGGGAUCGCAAGUCAGAUGUGAAAACUAUGGGCUUAACCCAUAAACUGCAUUUGAAACUGUGGUUCUUGAGUGAAGUAGAGGUAAGCGGAAUUCCUAGUGUAGCGGUGAAAUGCGUAGAUAUUAGGAGGAACAUCAGUGGCGAAGGCGGCUUACUGGGCUUUAACUGACGCCGAGGCUCGAAAGCGUGGGGAGCAAACAGGAUUAGAUACCCUGGUAGUCCACGCCGUAAACGAUGAUUACUAGGUGUGGGGGGACUGACCCCUUCCGUGCCGCAGCAAACGCAAUAAGUAAUCCACCUGGGGAGUACGACCGCAAGGUUGAAACUCAAAGGAAUUGACGGGGGCCCGCACAAGCAGUGGAGUAUGUGGAUUAAUUCGAAGCAACGCGAAGAACCUUACCAGGUCUUGACAUCGUAUGCAUAGCUCAGAGAUGAGUGAAAUCUCUUCGGAGACAUAUAGACAGGUGGUGCAUGGUUGUCGUCAGCUCGUGUCGUGAGAUGUUGGGUUAAGUCCCGCAACGAGCGCAACCCUUACUGUUAGUUGCUACGCAAGAGCACUCUAGCAGGACUGCCGUUGACAAAACGGAGGAAGGUGGGGAUGACGUCAAAUCAUCAUGCCCCUUAUGACCUGGGCCUCACACGUACUACAAUGGCUGUCAACAGAGGGAAGCAAAGCCGCGAGGUGGAGCGAACCCCUAAAAGCAGUCUUAGUUCGGAUUGUAGGCUGCAACCCGCCUACAUGAAGUCGGAAUUGCUAGUAAUCGCAGAUCAGCAUGCUGCGGUGAAUACGUUCCCGGGCCUUGUACACACCGCCCGUCACGCCAUGGGAGUCGGUAACACCCGAAGCCUGUAGUCUAACCGCAAGGAGGACGCAGUCGAAGGUGGGAUUGAUGACUGGGGUGAAGUCGUAACAAGGUA